rnacentral:RNase_P_RNA from 1 species
UAAGUAGGACAAAUAAUCGCGGCUGCUUUUGCGGCUGAGGAAAGUCCGGGCUUCGCAGGGCAGGAUGCCGGAUAACGUCCGGUGGAGGCGACUCUAAGGCUAGUGCAACAGAAAUAAACCGCCUGUCAGGGUUCGCCCUGAUACGGUAAGGGUGGAAAGGCAGUGUAAGAGACUACCGUGUGGCUGGUAACAGCCAUAGCCAUGUAAACCCCAUCCGAAGCAAGACCAUAUGAAAACAAUAGGCUUGCCCGGUCUGUUUUCAGGUAGGUCGCUGGAGGCUUUCGGCGACGAAAGUCCAAGAUAGAUGAUUAUUCACGACAUAACCCGGCUUAUCGUCCUGCUUAUUUU